UAAGUUGGUAGUGAAAGCGUUCGGCUCAACCGGAUACACAUUAUCAAAACUGCAAAGCUAGAGGGCGAGAGAGGUUACUGGAAUUCCCAGUGUAGGAGUGAAAUCCGUAGAUAUUGGGAGGAACACCGAUGGCGUAGGCAGGUAACUGGCUCGUCCCUGACACUAAGGCACGAAAGCGUGGGGAAGCGAACGGGAUUAGAUACCCGGUAGUCCACGCCGUAAACUAUGGAUGCUA
rnacentral:rRNA from 1 species